AUUGAACGCUGGCGGAAUGCUUUACACAUGCAAGUCGAGCGGCAGCGCGGGGGCAACCCUGGCGGCGAGCGGCGAACGGGUGAGUAACAUAUCGGAACGUACCCCGUCGUGGGGGAUAACACAGCGAAAGCUGUGCUAAUACCGCAUACGACCUGAGGGUGAAAGGGGGGAGUCGCAAGACCUCUCGCAGUUGGAGCGGCCGAUGGCGGAUUAGCUAGUUGGUGGGGUAAAGGCCUACCAAGGCGACGAUCCGUAGCGGGUCUGAGAGGAUGAUCCGCCACACUGGGACUGAGACACGGCCCAGACUCCUACGGGAGGCAGCAGUGGGGAAUUUUGGACAAUGGGCGAAAGCCUGAUCCAGCCAUGCCGCGUGAGUGAAGAAGGCCUUCGGUUGUAAAGUACGUCUUUCGGUUGGGGGAAGGAAAUUGCAUAGGCGUAAUAACCCUGUGUAGAU
rnacentral:rRNA from 1 species